CCUACGGGAGGCAGCAGUAGGGAAUCUUCGGCAAUGGGGGCAACCCUGACCGAGCAACGCCGCGUGAGUGAAGAAGGUUUUCGGAUCGUAAAGCUCUGUUGUAAGAGAAGAACGUGUGUGAGAGUGGAAAGUUCACACAGUGACGGUAACUUACCAGAAAGGGACGGCUAACUACGUGCCAGCAGCCGCGGUAAU
rnacentral:rRNA from 2 species